rnacentral:ncRNA from 2 species
CUCUUAUUAAGAGCGAUGGAGGCAUAGGGGCCUAUGAAGUCGCGGCAACCUCUGAAAUUGAAAGGUGCCGACCCAAGCGAGUUUAACUCGAGCAAUAAGAG